GCCUGGCCUGGUCCGGCCGGGAGCCUUGCGCGAACUCACCGCCAGGAGGAGCGAGCGGGCGGCGGGGCGGGCCUGUCCGCGCCCGGGGAGGGGUGGGUGUUGGCCGCGAGUUUGAGAAAAGUUGUGCGCGGCGCGGGAGGAAGUGCCGAGCGAGUUGGGGCUGCGCGGCGCGCGGUGACUGCGGGCUCGGGGGGGACCCGGGAGGCCCCUCGGCCGCCGAGGAGCCGAGGACCCGCAGGGAGAGCGAGGUGGGGGGGCCCGCUGAGUCCCGAACGCCCGGCGGCGGCGGGUCCGCUGCCCGCGCCCCGCGCGGAGACCAUGCGGCUCCGGGCGGCCGCGAGGUGGACCUGGGCGGGCAAGAGCUGCCUGCUGCUGGCGCUGCUCACCGUGGCCUACGUCCUGGUGGAGCUCUCCGUCUCCAAUCUCCAUGCCUCCUCGGGAGCCGGCCCGGCCUGGGAGCGGGGGCCCGGGCGGCUCUCCGACCCCGCGCAAAAGGCCGGGGAUCUGUCCCGGCCGCUGUACGACAAGCCGCCCGCAGACCCCCGCGCCCUGGGCGAGUGGGGCAAAGCCAGCAAACUGCAGCUCGGCGAGGCCGAACGGAAGCAGCAAGAGGAGCUCAUUGAGCGAUAUGCCAUCAACAUCUACCUCAGUGACAGGAUCUCCCUGCACCGCCACAUAGAGGACAAGCGAAUGCACGAGUGCAAGUCCAAGACCUUCGACUACAGGCGGCUCCCCACCACCUCCGUCAUCAUCGCUUUCUACAACGAAGCCUGGUCCACGCUGCUCCGCACCAUCCACAGUGUUUUGGAAACCUCCCCCGCUGUCCUCCUGAAGGAGAUUAUCCUCGUGGAUGACCUGAGCGACCGGGUGUAUCUGAAGACACAGCUUGAAACGUACAUCAGCAACCUCGACCGAGUCCGCUUGAUUCGAACCACCAAGCGGGAGGGCUUGGUGAGGGCCCGCCUCAUCGGGGCCACGUUCGCCACGGGGGAUGUGCUCACUUUCCUGGAUUGUCACUGUGAGUGUAACUCUGGUUGGCUGGAACCCCUUUUGGAAAGGAUUGGUGAGGAUGAAACGGCCAUCGUUUGUCCUGUGAUAGAUACCAUCGAUUGGAAUACUUUUGAAUUCUAUAUGCAGACUGGGGAACCCAUGAUUGGUGGGUUUGACUGGCGUUUAACGUUUCAGUGGCAUUCUGUCCCCAAGCACGAAAGGGACAGGAGGAAAUCGAGAAUUGAGCCAAUCAGAUCGCCCACCAUGGCCGGAGGACUGUUUGCUGUCAGCAAGAAAUACUUUGAGUACCUUGGGACAUACGACACUGGGAUGGAAGUGUGGGGAGGUGAAAAUCUGGAGCUCUCUUUCAGAGUGUGGCAGUGUGGAGGGAAACUGGAGAUCCACCCAUGUUCCCACGUGGGCCACGUAUUCCCUAAGCGGGCUCCCUAUGCUCGGCCCAAUUUUCUGCAGAACACUGCUCGGGCGGCCGAAGUGUGGAUGGAUGAGUACAAAGAGCAUUUCUACAAUCGAAACCCUCCAGCAAGGAAAGAAUCUUACGGGGAUAUUUCUGAAAGAAAAUUGCUACGAGAACGGCUGAAGUGCCAGAGCUUUGACUGGUAUUUGAAAAAUGUGUUUUCGAACUUACACGUUCCAGAGGAUAGGCCAGGCUGGCACGGAGCUAUUCGCAGUAUGGGGAUCUCUUCUGAAUGUUUAGAUUAUAACUCUCCCGACAACAACCCCACAGGUGCUAACCUUUCACUGUUUGGAUGCCAUGGUCAAGGGGGCAAUCAAUUCUUUGAAUAUACUUCAAACAAAGAAAUCAGGUUUAAUUCUGUGACUGAGUUAUGUGCACAGGUCCCUGAGCAAAAAAAUCACGUAGGAAUGCAGAAUUGUCCAAAAGAUGGGUCCUCUGUGCCAGCAAACAUUAUUUGGCAUUUCAAAGAAGACGGAACCAUUUUUCAUCCACACUCAGGACUCUGUCUUAGUGCUUAUCGGACACCUGAGGGCCGCGCUGAUGUGCAGAUGAGAACUUGUGAUGCUCUGGAUAAAAAUCAAAUCUGGAAGUUUGAGAACUAAAGGAGCAUAAGCAGCACUUUAGUCCUGAGUUGACAGUAUAUUCAGGAAAGUCCAAGAGCCUCAAUGGAGAUUAUAUUUUAUUAGAAAUCGCCCAGUGGUCAUCUCUGAGAGUGCUGUAUAAUCUGUGUUUCAUCUUGGCAUAGAACACAAACUGUUGCGCAGAGCGCUGCUGUUUCACGUUUGAAAGUGCCUUACUUAGAAGUGGUUUUAUUUUAUUUCAGAGUUCUGUCAAUAUGGUUUCUUCUCCUUAAAGAAGUUGACUGUGAAUUGAGAUACACAAAACAUGUAGGUGCCAGAUGAUCGUACAGACUGUAAAAGUCCCAAGUAAAAUAGGUGAUUUUUGUUGAUGGGUAUUGUUUUUGAGCAACGUUCAGUCCAGUUAUGAAGCUGGGAAAAAGAAUUGGUUUUAAGACUUAUGUGAGCUGAGCUCACCUGCAGUGGUUUAUUUUUGGAUUGAGUGGAAAGUUGUAUUCAUUUCAUUUUGUCAGUUGUUGAACCAAUUUUUGUUUUUAUCUUUAAUCUUUCAAACUGUAAAUAAUCUUUUGGGGCAAGGUUGUAAAUAUUUCCCAAACUAAAUAAUUGGAGAAGUAAACAUACUAAACAAAAGUAUUUUAACUGGUUUAAUUGCGAUGUUAUAUUUAGAAACCUAAAUUUAGAAUUAAAUCUCAAAUUAGUUCAGUUUGGCCUAGAUUUUUGAAAAAUACAUGCUUGAUAAAAAAUUAAUCCAUAAUCCUUAUAUGAAAAUUUGUUUUCAGCGUCUACUUAAUGAUGUAGCAACUUUGCAAAUCUGAAUUUAAGAAAAAAUUUUAGGAUAGUUAUUUCAAAAAGUGAAAUUGUUCAGUGGCUUGAAUAUUUUUAUUUUUUUAUUUUGCUUCUAAAAAUGAAAAUGUGUUAUUAGCUUUAUGUAAGUUAUCUGGCAACCUUAAAAUUUAUCAAAGAAUUGCCAUGGCACUGGGUAUAAUUUAAAGAGGACUUAUCAUAGUGCUCGAAUUUUACAAAAGGGUUGACUGACAACAGAUAUUCUCCUAAACCUACCCUCUCUCCAUGCUCAGCCUGCCUUUUUUAAAUUAUUAAAUUACCUUUUAGUUUUUAAUUUAUUUUUAUUAUUAUUCUUAGCCCCCUAUCAAAUGGGAGAAUUAAAGUUGAUAUAUUCUGGAAGUACAUACUGGAAUUAUUUUUAUCCUAGUAUCUUGCUGCUCAUGUCAAGAGGGAAAGGGAACAUUAAAAACUAGAGUAGUACUUAAUUCUUUAUUUACUCUUGGUCUAAAUUUCAGGGCUUUUUGGAAGAAAUUUUAGACUAGUGCUUUAUUUAUAUCAAUUAAUUUGGAAGAGUUAGGCUGUUAAUUCCUUACAAUCCUGUACAUAACUGAAGAAUGAGACUUCCACUUUUCAUGCAUAGGCAUUUCCAAUUUAAUUAAAAAACACACUAUAAAACUAAACAAAAUGUAUUUGGCUGCCCUACUUCUAAUUUAUUGAUACUAAAUCUCUCUUUUUUGGGGGGCAAUUAAGAGUUGACCUUUUAAGUUAGUUUACAUGCUGAAUCAUAACUUUAGAAAAAUAUUUGCUAAACUAGAAGUUUCAACUUUAAAUAGCCAGUCACUAUGUCAUUUAGUAUCCGAGUCUCUGAAUAGUUUGACCAUCUAACUUGGCAUUUUUAUAAGUCAUUAAAAAAAAAAAAAAAGAAGAAGAUAAGCUAGUCGUAUGCAAGAUCUCUAUAACUCAAAAUAACUUGUUAGUAAAAGAAAAUGUGUUUUCAUUAUGUGUUGGCAAAUCAAGUGUUUCUAGAUUGAAGACAAGGUUAUUUUUAAGUUUUGUAGUCAUAGUUGAUUUAGGAUUUCAAUUUGAAUUGAUUAAACAGUUUUCACUUGUCUUUUUGAGUUUGUGUUUUAAAAAUAUAUUUAAAUGAGCACAAAGAAUGUUGAGAUUUUGCCAGGCAUGUGUGGUUCAGUGGUAGAGCGUUGACCUAUGAACUUGGAGGGCCCAGUUCACUUCCCAUUAAGGGCACAUGCCCAGAUUUCAGGCUCAAUCCCCAGUGGGGUGCAUGCAGGAAGCAACUGAUCAAUGAUUCUCUCUCAUCAUUUAUGUUUCUAUCUCUUUCUCUCUCUCCCUCCCUCUCAGAAAUCAAUAAAGUAUAUUUUAAAAAAAAGAAUGUUGAAGUUCAGAUUAAUCUGUUUUGAAUGAUGCAUUUUUUUCUGUGUGAUGAGCAGUUUCUAUCCUUUUUUCCCUUUGUAAAUGUAUUUGCAAUAUUAAGACAAAAUAAAAUGUGUGCCUAAUUA